rnacentral:rRNA from 1 species
GACAGAGGGUGCAAACGUUGUUCGGAGUUACUGGGCGUAAAGCGUGCGCAGGCGGUGGCUCAAGCCAGGCGUGAAAUCCCCGGGCUUAACCUGGGAAUGGCGUUUGGGACUGGGUCGCUAGAGUGUGGCAGAGGGAGGUGGAAUUCCACGUGUAGCAGUGAAAUGCGUAGAGAUGUGGAGGAACACCGAUGGCGAAGGCAGCCUCCUGGGCCAGCACUGACGCUCAUGCACGAAAGCGUGGGGAGCAAACAGG